GAUGAACGCUGGCGGCGUGCCUAAUACAUGCAAGUCGAGCGAACAGACGAGGCGCUUGCUCCUUUGACGUUAGCGGCGGACGGGUGAGUAACACGUGGGUAACCUACCUAUAAGUCUGGUAUCACUUCGGGAAACCGGAGCUUAUACCGGAUAAUAUUUCGAACCGCAUGGUUCGAUAGUGAAAGUUGGCUCUGCUACCACUUAUCGAUGGAUCUGCGCCGUAUUAGCUAGUUGGUAAGGUAACGGCCUAUCAAGGCAACGAUACGUAGCCGACCUGAGAGGGUGGUCGGCCACAUGAGAACGUAGACGGGGUCCAUGCGCCUGAGGGAGGCAGCAGUAGGGUAUCUGCCGCAAUGGGCGAGAGCCUGACGGAGCAACGCCACGUGAGAGGUGAAGGUGUUCGGAUCGUAAAAAUCUGUUAUUAGGGAAGAACAAACGUGGAAGUAACUGUGCACGUAGUGACGGUACCUAAUCAGAAAGCCACGGCUAACUACGUG
rnacentral:rRNA from 1 species